GCUUAGCCCUAAACCUCAGUAGUUAAACCAACAAAACUACUCGCCAGAAUACUACAAGCAACCGGUUGAAACUCAAAGGACUUGGCGGUGCUUCACACCCCCCUAGAGGAGCCUGUCCCAUAAUCGAUAAACCCCGAUCCACCCCACCCUCUCUUGCUCAGCCUAUAUACCGCCAUCUUCAGCGAACCCUGAUAAAGGUCAACAAAGUGAGCGUAAAUGCCCCUUUCCGCAAAAACGUUAGGUCAAGGUGUAGCCUAUGAGAUGGAAAAAGAUGGGCUACAUUUUCUAUCCUAGAAAACCCACGAUAACUCUCAUGAAACCUAAGAGUCUAAGGAGGAUUUAGUAGUAAAUUAAGAAUAGAGUGCUUAAUUGAACGAGGCCAUAAAGCACGC
rnacentral:rRNA from 1 species